CAGACCCGCGCACACACAUCGCGCGCACCGCCGCCUGAGGACCUCCCUUGCUAGGCCGCCCGCCGCGCUCCGCCGGCCCCCGCGCCGCCGCCCGCCGCUCAGGGUCCUGGGGGUGCUGAGGGGCGACCACAGCUCAGUGCUGCUGGGGAGGAGGGCGCGAUUCUGCUCCAACUCGAGCGACACCGAAGCGGCGGAGGCGGAGGCGAAGGCCGAGGAUGCGACCGCUGCGGAGGGGGAGGCGAACGGCAAGGCGUUCUCCUCCAUCGUGCCCACCAACCCUCAGAUCGAGGACUGCCUCUCGUUCAGAUUCAGAGAAAAGCAUUGAUAAUCUGAAAGGGAAAGAUUUGCUGAAGCGUCUUCAUGAAGUUGGGAUGCUUGCUCAGGUAAUUUGACAACUUUUUUCCCCUUGUAUGCAUUUGUUUUUUUUUAUCAUUUGCUUGAAGGUUAGAAGUGUUGCAACAUGAGAUGGAGCCAUUCUCUUGGUAAGUUUUUUCCCAUCUUGUAUUGGUUUGAACACAUAUUUCUGUUUUGGGGUAUAACUUCUAAUAACACAUCCUCACCAUUCAGUCAUAAACAUGUUCUUAUUCUAUCAUCUCUGAGCUAUCAUAAUUUUCACAAGUGAAGUGUGUUAUAUAUGCAUACUAAUUACAACUCAUCAGGUCCUAAUGGAACUUGAUUUUUUUUUUUGUGCCUUCCAAAGGAACUACCUGUUAUGCACUACAGGAAACUAAAAGUACUGUUGCUUGUGAUGUAUCAUGGUCACAAAAAACGUCUUGGUAACGAUAAAUCCUGAAAGAUUAAUCCACUCAAAUUUGAUAGGCUGGAUUUUAGUAAUCAUCAUUUCGUCAUGCUAAUCCCUAGGCGGCUAUGUUCUGUUCUUUUUUCACCGUGUUACAAGGACAGAUGCUAUCUUUCUUGAUCAAGCUCUAUGAUGAUGACGAAACACAAUGUUUUACUCUUCUAAGAUUAUUAAGUGCUUAUUUGUUUUUGAACUCAUUAGGGCGUGUGUAUCUUAUGCCCGUACUUGGUUGUACCUUGUAAAUAAUGGUCCACGGCUGAUAAUACAUUUUGUAAUAUAAGUUGUAUCUAAAGUUUGUAAAGAAUUGAUAAUUGAAAUGGCAAAACAUGUCUGAUGUGUGUGUGUA